rnacentral:lncRNA from 1 species
ACCUACCCGAACCGGGUUCUAGGACUCACUACGCACAACAAUCAAAAGUCCCCGCGCCUCCACACGCACCUCCAUCGGAUCACCAUGCACCACUGCUGUUCGUUGUCAAUUGCUGCUAUGGAUUGGCCAAAAUUUAAUGUAGAGCACUUCGUGCCCUCAGAUCUGACAUAGAUUUGGUGGAAUCGCGCUAAAGGGAGCCGCAUAAUAGCAAAACACACGUCGAGCGGCCGCACAAAUCUUCUUUUUCUCAUGCGCACCGUUGCACGUAGCACUGGAAUCUCCUCUGCCUUUUUCUUCUCUUUCUUCUUCUUCUCCUAUCUCAGUUGCCAAUUGAUGGUAACCGUAGCCCUUCUCUCUCUAUCUUCAUCUCUCUCUCUCUUUCUCUCUCUUCCUGCACCGAUUUCCUUCCCUCCCUUCACGUUUUAUAGGGAGGGGUAGAAGGAGUCUUGCACGACCCUUCUUCCUUGGUGUGCAAGUCUCCUUUUCUUUCUUGUCGGCCGGUGGUAGAGGCAUACACACCUCUGCCUCUUCAGUUUUCUCAACUAUAGGUAAACACGCCUAUGUCUUU